rnacentral:rRNA from 1 species
AACCAGACUCCUACGGGAGGCAGCAGUCGGGAAUAUUGCGCAAUGGAGGAAACUCUGACGCAGUGACGCCGCGUAUAGGACGAAGGUCUUCGGAUUGUAAACUAUUGUCGUUAGGGAAGAGAAAGGACAGUACCUAAGGAGGAAGCUCCGGCUAACUACGUGCCAGCAGCCGCGGUAAUACGUAGGGAGCAAGCGUUAUCCGGAUUUACUGGGUGUAAAGGGGGCGCAGACGGCGAUGCAAGCCAGGAGUGAAAGCCCGGGGCCCAACCCCGGGACUGCUCUUGGAACUGCGUGGCUGGAGUGCAGGAGGGGCAGGCGGAAUUCCUGGUGUAGCGGUGAAAUGCGUAGAUAUCAGGAGGAACACCGGUGGCGAAGGCGGCCUGCUGGACUGCAACUGACGUUGAGGCCCGAAAGCGUGGGGAGCAAACAGGAUUAGAUACCCGUGUA